UCCUCUUCCAGGUGGCCAGACAUCACCUUGUCUUACCUCCUCCUCAGAUUGAAAAUCCCUUUAAUCCUCUUCCAGGUGGCCAGACAUCACCUUGUCUUACCUCCUCCUCAGAUUGAAAAUCCCUUUAAUCCUCUUCCAGGUGGCCAGACAUCACCUUGUCUUACCUCCUCCUCAGAUUGAAAAUCCCUUUAAUCCUCUUCCAGGUGGCCAGACAUCACCUUGUCUUACCUCCUCCUCAGAUUGAAAAUCCCUUUAAUCCUCUUCCAGGUGGCCAGACAUCACCUUGUCUUACCUCCUCCUCAGAUUGAAAAUCCCUUUAAUCCUCUUCCAGGUGGCCAGACAUCCCCUUGUCUUACCUCCUCCUCAGAUUGAAAAUCCCUUUAAUCCUCUUCCAGGUGGCCAGACAUCCCCUUGUCUUACCUCCUCCUCAGAUUGAAAAUCCCUUUAAUCCUCUUCCAGGUGGCCAGACAUCCCCUUGUCUUACCUCCUCCUCAGAUUGAAAAUCCCUUUAAUCCUCUUCCAGGUGGCCAGACAUCACCUUGUCUUACCUCCUCCUCAGAUUGAAAAUCCCUUUAAUCCUCUUCCAGGUGGCCAGACAUCACCUUGUCUUACCUCCUCCUCAGAUUGAAAAUCCCUUUAAUCCUCUUCCAGGUGGCCAGACAUCCCCUUGUCUUACCUCCUCCUCAGAUUGAAAAUCCCUUUAAUCCUCUUCCAGGUGGCCAGACAUCCCCUUGUCUUACCUCCUCCUCAGAUUGAAAAUCCCUUUAAUCCUCUUCCAGGUGGCCAGACAUCACCUUGUCUUACCUCCUCCUCAAAUUGAAAAUCCCUUUAAUCCUCUUCCCCAUUCUCUGCUACCUGUCCCCUUUCAUUGUAAAACUCUGUGGAACCUCGGAUCUAAAUCUGAUUAAGUGGUGGAGAGGUAGUGGGGUGGGGGAGGGGGGACACAAUCCUCGCUCCCCAGGGAACGUCUCCCUCUCCCUGGCCGACGCUCAAACCUCGACAGGGGUAGCCUCCAGAGUCAUGGUUCUAUUGUACUGUACACACUGUUGGGCAGUGCGAGAUGAAAUAAGCGAGUUAAAAGCGGCUUGAGGCGAAAAACAAUGUUGGCGAUUAGAUGAUUGAUUAGGCGGCUGGCGGCGUUCGGCGUGCCAUGUUCGAGCGGCAUUGUCUGGAGCCGCCGCCGCACGAUUAGGACAAACACUUCA